AUAUCAAUAAGCGGGGAAAAGAAACUAACAAGGAUUCCCCUAGUAACUGCGAGUGAAGCGGGAAAAGCUCAAAUUUAAAAUCUGGCAGUCUCUGGCUGUCCGAGUUGUAAUCUAGAGAAGUGUUAUCCGCGCUGGACCGUGUACAAGUCUCCUGGAAUGGAGCGUCAUAGAGGGUGAGAAUCCCGUCUUUGACACGGACUACCAGGGCUCUGUGAUGCGCUCUCAAAGAGUCGAGUUGUUUGGGAAUGCAGCUCAAAAUGGGUGGUAAAUUCCAUCUAAAGCUAAAUAUUGGCGAGAGACCGAUAGCGAACAAGUACCGUGAGGGAAAGAUGAAAAGAACUUUGGAAAGAGAGUUAAACAGUACGUGAAAUUGCUGAAAGGGAAACGCUUGAAGUCAGUCGCGUUGACCGGGGAUCAACCUUGCUUUUGCUGGGCGUACUUUCCGGUUGACGGGUCAGCAUCAAUUUUGACCAUUGGAUAAAGUCCAGGGGAAUGUGGCAUCUUCGGAUGUGUUAUAGCCCUUAGUCGCAUACAAUGGCUGGGAUUGAGGAACUCAGCACGCCGCAAGGCCGGGUACUUGUACCACGUUCGUGCUUAGGAUGCUGGCAUAAUGGCUUUAAUCGACCCGUCUUGAAACACGGACCAAGGAGUCUAACAUGCCUGCGAGUGUUUGGGUGGAAAACUCGGACGCGUAAUGAAAGUGAAAGUUGAGAUCCCUGUCGUGGGGAGCAUCGACGCCCGGACCAGACCUUUUGUGACGGAUCCGCGGUAGAGCAUGUAUGUUGGGACCCGAAAGAUGGUGAACUAUGCCUGAAUAGGGUGAAGCCAGAGGAAACUCUGGUGGAGGCUCGUAGCGAUUCUGACGUGCAAAUCGAUCGUCAAAUUUGGGUAUAGGGGCGAAAGACUAAUCGAACCAUCUAGUAGCU
rnacentral:rRNA from 1 species